UGAGUUGUCACUUCUGGUGAGGAACUACUGGGAAGGAGGGAGAAAGCAAGAGGUAUUGACCACCUGUGGUUAGAGCAGUACGAGGAACAGCUUCAAAUGGGAUCUCAGAGUGGUUGUCCAGAAGUUACAACUUGCUGCUCUCUUGGUACACUUUGAAAACCUAGACUUCUGCUACAUUUUGAACAUAACAGAGAUCUACGCCAUAGUGAAUGAGAGCAGGCUGCUUUCUUUAGGACAUUCUUGUAUUGAAGACGAUGGAAGAGAAAAACUACCCAAAUACUGUCAGAAGAGAAGAGGACGCUGGUCCCAAUUCCUUUAAGAUUUUACACCAGAAACUGCAGCCACUGGGAGACACGUCUUGUUCAACUGCUUUUAACUAGAAAAUUACUUGGGAGGGAGAAAUUUUAGAAUAUAGAAGAACAUAGAUACAAAGUGGUACUUUGACCACUUAACACAACCAGUACCGUGCCUCUGCCUGUGAAGAACUGACUACUGUACAUUGCAUGGAGGUACUGUUAGAAUAAAAUCCACCAAUAUUUGGGUAUUGGGCGCUGUCAUGACUUCACAGGAAAAUAAUUCUUUGUUUUCAACAUGAAGUUUGAAGACUAUGCAACGAGUAAGAUACAGGGCAAUGUACCUAAAAAAAUAUUAAGGAGCAGCUCACAGCGAAUUAGAUUCCUCUUGAAUGCAAUGCAAGUCUUGAGGGGCAAAGUUCAUGAACAAAGAAUGUGCGUUCUACAUAUAACUAAAGCCAACUAAAGACUGCAAAAGCUUGUCUUAUUUUAGCACUUCCUAACUUAUGACUUUCCUAUUUUUGCAAUGCUAAUCAGAAGAAUUAGUUUAUUUUCAGGUAUGUUACAAAUGUACGUGAUUACUCAAACUUCUACUUAUUGGCACCCUAGGCACAACUGAGUUUUUGCAAAUGAAUAUCAAGUGAAGAUGAAAGAUCACAUGAAGGCUUCUGCAAAAAGCCACCAAAUACUACGACACGCACAACUAAGUAUCCAUCAGAUAUAGAGAACAAUAAAAUUCUGCAAAGUACUGAAGAGAAAGUGAAGAUUCAACUAAAAUGUGCUUGAUUAAUAAAAAAAUCAUGAAAUUUCAUAGGUAUUAAUGUUGUGAAAAGAAGUCCACCUGUUCUGCUAUAACAAAGUGAUUAAAAAAAAAACCCUAGAGCAAUAAAAAGCACUAUUUGGCCAUGUUUAUCAAAAUCCAGUAACUUAAAUAUAAAAAGAAAGCACCACAACAAGAAAUCUAAAACAUAAAACGAUAGGUGUAUAGCUUUAAGGGGUGGAAAAUACACCAGUGAAGACUAAGUAACUGAAGGAGCUCUUUGCAGUUACUUCUACAGUCAAGAAUAAAACAUCCACAUGUUUUACCUGAAUAAAGGAUAUAUAAAAGAAUACAUUCAUAUGUGAAAUAAACACGUACUU
rnacentral:lncRNA from 7 species